rnacentral:rRNA from 1 species
AGAGUUUGAUCCUGGCUCAGGACGAACGCUGGCGGCGUGCUUAACACAUGCAAGUCGAACGGAAAGGCCCUUCGGGGUACUCGAGUGGCGAACGGGUGAGUAACACGUGGGUGAUCUGCCCUGCACUUUGGGAUAAGCCUGGGAAACUGGGUCUAAUACCGAAUAUGACCACGCUCUUCAUGGGGUGUGGUGGAAAGCUUUUGCGGUGUGGGAUGGGCCCGCGGCCUAUCAGCUUGUUGGUGGGGUAAUGGCCUACCAAGGCGACGACGGGUAGCCGGCCUGAGAGGGUGACCGGCCACACUGGGACUGAGAUACGGCCCAGACUCCUACGGGA